AUCACUUCUCGGCCUUUUGGCUAAGAUCAAGUGCACAUUCAGGUAAAGACAUUUUGGUGGAGAUGAGGAGAGGAGGUGGGGUACUGCUCAGCUACUCCACUCUUCUCCCAUCCU
rnacentral:snRNA from 1 species